UGCAUGUAUUCUAUACUGUGAUACUUCAAUUUAGGAGUCUAGGGGGGCUGAUUAAGUGGUACUUAGGCUCAAAAGAAAAAGGAGCUUGAUUGACUAAGUUAUUUGUUGCUUGAGGACAAGCAAAAAGCUAGGUGUGGGGGUAUUUGAUCAAGUAUAAUUUAGCCACAUUUUUAUGAUCUUUAUUAUUGUUUAUUUACACAUUAUUUAGCUUAAUUUAUGGUUUUUACCUUGUUUUUACAGAAAAGGAAGAAAUUGGAAAAAUGGAGAAAAAGUGCAGAAAAUGACAAAAAAGUG
rnacentral:lncRNA from 1 species